AUGCUAACCCUCAAAUGGAGGAGGGGGAGGAGUAUAUAUAGUCUAAGCCACGAAGGGGUAAGUGAGGGGCGAAGGGGUACAUGGGCUUCGGCCCAAGUCACGCACGCAGGCGGGGUCCGGAUGAUCAGGAUGGUGGACCGGAUGAUCCGGGUGUCAGGGGUCCGUAUGAUCCGGGCGGCCGUCCGGAUGAUCCGGCUUCAAGUGAAACCUUCGGGUGUCUUCGGCGCAGUUAGCCAGAUCGUCCGGGUGGGGGUCCGGAUCGUCCGGCUGGGGGUCCGGAUGAUCCGGGCAAGUCCUGUCUUGUCCGUUCUUCUUCUUCCUUCUCCUCUUCCAUGCUUGGCCUUGGUCCUUGGAUCCUCCAUGGUCAUCUCGGUUGUACCUGAGUAUAUGCAAGGCCCAUGCAUGAGGUAG
rnacentral:rRNA from 1 species